UUAAUUUUGAUCUUUGUUCCUUGCGUUCCACCCUUGUAUAUAUGUUUUUACUCAUGAGAGAGGAGUUGAUCAUGUGAAACAUUCGAAAGCAAAUGAUUUCCCAUAUUUUACUUUUCAAUGCUAAUUAACCUAAGCGAAAGCACCUAGAUUAAUCCUAUCAAACAUGCAAUCAAGCCCUAGAAAGCUAGUCAAUCAUGACAUGUUCAACGCAUUAGACAUAGAGAAAGGCUAUCAACUCAAGUGUACAACUUAGUUAUGGAAAAGUCCACCUAAUUGCAAUCCUCUUCAAUUAAAUUCGAUUCUUGUCCAGAACCUUUACUACUUUUGAUUCAAGUUACACAAAACGAAAAGUCGAUUUCAUGUUCUUAAACCUAGCACCAAUUACAUGCAAAUCCUAUAAGUGUCGACCCAAAUAAGAUAAACAUAUAAAAGUUUUCUGUAAAGCAAAUUUAAUCGAACAAACUCACAUAAGCAACUUAGAAUCAC
rnacentral:lncRNA from 1 species